rnacentral:rRNA from 1 species
AACGAACGCUGGCGGCAGGCUUAACACAUGCAAGUCGAACGGAUGUAGCAAUACAUCAGUGGCAGACGGGUGAGUAACACGUGGGAACCUUCCUCGUUGUACGGGACAACUCAGGGAAACUUGAGCUAAUACCGUAUACGUCCGAGAGGAGAAAGAUUUAUCGCAAUGAGACGGGCCCGCGUCGGAUUAGCUAGUUGGUGGGGUAACGGCCGUACCAAGGCGACGAUCCGUAGCUGANCUGAGAGGAUGAUCAGCCACACUGGGACUGAGACACGGCCCAGACUCCUACGGGAGGCAGCAGUGGGGAAUCUUGGACAAUGGGCGCAAGCCUGAUCCAGCCAUGCCGCGUGAGUGAAGAAGGCCUUAGGGUUGUAAAGCUCUUUUGCC